rnacentral:lncRNA from 1 species
AAAACAAAAAUACACUCAAGUUUUGAAAAGUAGAUGAAAUUUCAUUUUACUCUAGAUAAUUUCCUCAAAAUUAUAGGACUCAGAAUUUUUAAUCUGCAUUUUUGUUGUUGUUAGAAGAGAUUGAACCCAGAGAUCUUCCAUGCUAUACAAACCUACACCACUGAGUCACAUGCCCAAACAUUUUGUUCUGUAGUGCAUGAGUUUUGUUACUAUAUGACAGUGCGUUGUUCUCAAUAUAUGAAAAUUGCCAUGUAUUGAAUUAGAUUUUUGUGAAAUUUUUAGGUAACAGAUAAAAAGAGGAUACUGUUUGGUAAAUAGUGGAACAUUGAUCUUAAUUUUUUUAGGCAUUGUAAUUAAACUAAAAUUACUUGGAGUACAAUAUUUCCUUACAUUGCAUUUUAAUCAUUUCUGCCUUUUGUACCUACUUGUAAAUGAAGACUGAUGUGAGGGAUAUACAGGAAGAUAAAAAUAAACGUUGAUUUCUAAAUCUUCAAUUACUACUUCACAAGUUUAUUGUGAAAUAUGUGGCUGUUGGGUUGAUACUACUUAAUGUGAAAAGCAUUGGUUUUGAUUGAAAUGUAUUUGAAUAUGCAAAUGUUCCGUUAAAUGCUAAAUUUUAGCACUAAGUAUCAUAGAAAUUUUAAUUGUAUGUGCGUAUGUAUUUGCUUAUGCCUCUCUUAACUGAGAAUUUCCAGAAUUUUUUUAUGAAUUACUAAUAUGCCAUGAACCUCAAAUAUCUUAAAAAUCUCUUUGAG